rnacentral:rRNA from 1 species
CAGUAGCCACGGGAAUACGGAGGGGGCUAGCGUUGUUCGGAAUUACUGGGCGUAAAGCGCACGUAGGCGGCUUUGUAAGUCAGAGGUGAAAGCCUGGAGCUCAACUCCAGAACUGCCUUUGAGACUGCAUCGCUUGAACGUCGGAGAGGUGAGUGGAAUUCCGAGUGUAGAGGUGAAAUUCGUAGAUAUUCGGAAGAACACCAGUGGCGAAGGCGGCUCACUGGACGACUGUUGACGCUGAGGUGCGAAAGCGUGGGGAGCAAACAGGAUUAGAUACCCCCGUAGUCCCUGUCUCUUAUAA